GUAGGGAAACUUACGCUAAUACCGCAUACGACCUACGGGUGAAAGCAGGGGAUCUUCGGACCUUGCGCGAUUGAAUGAGCCGAUGUCGGAUUAGCUAGUUGGCGGGGUAAAGGCCCACCAAGGCGACGAUCCGUAGCUGGUCUGAGAGGAUGAUCAGCCACACUGGAACUGAGACACGGUCCAGACUCCUACGGGAGGCAGCAGUGGGGAAUAUUGGACAAUGGGCGCAAGCCUGAUCCAGCCAUACCGCGUGGGUGAAGAAGGCCUUCGGGUUGUAAAGCCCUUUUGUUGGGAAAGAAAUCCAGCCGGCUAAUACCCGGUUGGGAUGACGGUACCCAAAGAAUAAGCACCGGCUAACUUCGUGCCAGCAGCCGCGGUAAUACGAAGGGUGCAAGCGUUACUCGGAAUUACUGGGCGUAAAGCGUGCGUAGGUGGUCGUUUAAGUCCGUUGUGAAAGCCCUGGGCUCAACCUGGGAACUGCAGUGGAUACUGGGCGACUAGAGUGUGGUAGAGGGUAGCGGAAUUCCUGGUGUAGCAGUGAAAUGCGUAGAGAUCAGGAGGAACAUCCAUGGCGAAGGCAGCUACCUGGACCAACAC
rnacentral:rRNA from 1 species